CGGGUGAGUAACGCGUGAGGAACCUGCCUCAAAGAGGGGGACAACGAGUUGGAAACGACUGCUAAUACCGCAUAAGCCCACGGCUCGGCAUCGAGCAGAGGGAAAGGAGUGAUCCGCUUUGAGAUGGCCUCGCGUCCGAUUAGCUAGUUGGUGAGGUAACGGCCCACCAAGGCAACGAUCGGUAGCCGGACUGAGAGGUUGAACGGCCACAUUGGGACUGAGACACGGCCCAG
rnacentral:rRNA from 1 species